rnacentral:rRNA from 1 species
GACGAACCGAGCGAACGUUGUUCGGAAUCACUGGGCUUAAAGGGCGCGUAGGCGGGCUGUCAAGUCUGGGGUGAAAUCCCGCGGCUCAACCGUGGAACUGCCUCAGAUACUGACGGCCUCGAGGGAGGUAGGGGCGAGCGGAACUAAUGGUGGAGCGGUGAAAUGCGUAGAGAUCCGGAGGAACACCAAAGGCGAAGGCAGUGUCCUGGGGAGUACCUGACGCUCAGGUGCGAAAGCCAGGGGAGCGAACGGG